UUCUCUUCCUCCCUCCCUCCCUCCUUCUCUCCCUUCUUUCCUCUCCCUUUCCCUCUCCCUCUUUCUCUCUUAGCUUCCUGACAUUAAAGAGAAAAUGCUGCUAUCAGUGGCCUCCAGGCCUGGGAUUUCGACUUUUGGCUAUAACAAGAACAACAAGAAGCCAUAUGUGUCCUUGUCUCAGCAAAUGGCACCUCCGAGUCCAAGCAGCUGCAGUGGGAGCGCGGCGAGUGACCAGCUGAGCAAAACCAACCUCUACAUCGGGUGCUGCAGCCGAGCACCACGGACCAGGACCUGGUGACGCUCUGUCAGGCAUACGGCAAGAUUGUCUCCACUAAGGCCUUCCUGGACAAGACCACAAACAAGUGCAAAGGCUAUGGCUUUGUGGACUUUGACAGCCCUUCAGCCGCACAGAGAUCGGCAACCGCGCUGAAGGCCAGUGGUGUGCAAGCGCAGAUGGCAAAGCAACAGGAGCAGGACCCCACAAACUUAUACAUCUCAAACCUCCCGCUGUCGGUGGAUGAGCAGGAGCUGGAGGGGAUGCUGCAGCCCUUCGGCCAGGUCGUCUCCACUCGGAUCCUGCGCGACACCAGUGGGGCCAGCAGAGGGGUCGGCUUUGCCAGGAUGGAGUCCACAGAGAAGUAUGAAGCCAUCAUCACCCACUUUAAUGGAAAAUAUAUUAAGACACCCCCUAGAGUACCAGCCCCAUCUGAUCCCUUGCUUUGCAAAUUUGCUGAUCGGGGUCCAAAGAAACGACAGAACCAAGGAAAAUUUGUGCAGAACGGACGGGCCUGGCCAAGAAAUGGAGACAUGGGUGGCAUGGCUUUGACCUAUGACCCCACCACGGCUCUUCAGAAUGGGUUUUACCCCGCUCCUUACAACAUCACCCCCGGCAGGAUGCUGGCUCAGUCUGCACUGUCCCCGUAUCUUCCGUCUCCUGUGACGUCGUAUCAGAGAGUGACUCAGACAUCUCCUCUACAAGCACCUAACCCGUCUUGGAUGCACCACCCGUCAUACCUCAUGCAGCCCUCAGGUUCAGUUCUGACACCAGGAGUGGACCAUCCCAUUUCUCUGCAGCCUGCCUCCAUGGUGGGACCUCUGACCCAGCAGCUGGGCCCCCUCUCUCUCAGCAGCACGGGCACGUACGUGCCCUCUGCAGAGGGCUUACAUCUCCCAGUACACGCUGGUGCCCGCUUCCAGCGUUUCAGUUGAGGAGAGCGGCAGCCAGCAGAACCCGGCGCCGGUGGACGCGCCCGCGGAGCACGGCGUCUACCCCUUCCCGUUCAGCAAGUGA